ensembl:lncRNA
CCAGUCCCUCCCAGUCCCUCCCAUUCCCUCCCAGUAUGACUCCCAGUCCCUCCCAGUAUAUCCCAGUAUGAUCCCAGUCCCUCCCAGUCCCUCCCAGUAUAUCCCAGUCCCUCCCAGUAUGACUCCCAUUCCCUCCCAGUCCAUCCCAGUCCCAUCCCAGUCCCUCCCAGUCCCUCCCAGUAUAUCCCAGUAUGACUCCCAGUCCCUCCCAGUAUAUCCCAGUAUAUCCCAGUAUGACUCCCAGUCCCUCCCAGUCCCUCCCAGUCCCUCCCAGUAUAUCCCAGUAUGGCUCCCAGUCCCUCCCAGUAUAUCCCAGUAUGACUCCCAUCCCCUCCCAGCCCCUCCCAGUAUAUCCCAGUCCCUCCCAGUAUGACUCCCACUCCCUCCCAGUCCCUCCCAGUAUAUCCCAGUAUGACUCCCAUUCCCUCCCAGUCCCUCCCAUUCCCUCCCAGUAUAUCCCAGUCCCACCCAGUAUGACUCCCAUAAGACUCCCAGUCCCUCCCAGUACCUCCCAGUAUAUCCCAGUAUGGCUCCCAGUCCC